rnacentral:rRNA from 1 species
AAAUUGAAGAGUUUGAUCAUGGCUCAGAUUGAACGCUGGCGGCAGGCCUAACACAUGCAAGUCGAACGGUAGCACAGAGAGCUUGCUCUCGGGUGACGAGUGGCGGACGGGUGAGUAAUGUCUGGGAAACUGCCCGAUGGAGGGGGAUAACUACUGGAAACGGUAGCUAAUACCGCAUAACGUCGCAAGACCAAAGUGGGGGACCUUCGGGCCUCACACCAUCGGAUGUGCCCAGAUGGGAUUAGCUAGUAGGUGGGGUAACGGCUCACCUAGGCGACGAUCCCUAGCUGGUCUGAGAGGAUGACCAGCCACACUGGAACUGAGACACG